GCACAAAUUUUUAUUGAACAAAUGUCAGCAAAGGAAAUAGCAUUUCCAUGCUAUGCUAAUUAGCUAGUUAAGCUUAUGAAGAAGAUGCUCUGGUCCAGUCACUUCUGCUUUGUUCUGUAGUGAUAAAAUCAGGUGAAAUAUAUGUCAGCAAAGGGAAUAGCAUUCUCAUGCUAUGUUGUUAAUGAACUAGUUAAGCUAAUGAAGAAGGUGAAACCAAGCAUCAGCAUGUGAAUACUGUCAUUGAGUAUGUUGGCAACCUGGUUAUAUAAAACUGUAUGAACAGCUGAGGAAAACCACCCAAAAUCUAAAAUAAAACACAGCUCUGGAGAGUUAGGUAACGUUUAAAAGGAUUCCACCAGAAUAUGGAAAUGUGGUUGAAAAACACAGCAAAAGGUUCAUUUCUAACAUCCAGUAUCCAAUAGAGCCUAAUAGUAACAGGGACACUGUAUUAAAACUUGUAUCAGGAAGUUAAGUGAGCUUUAUGCUUGAUAAGUAGCUAAGCAAACAUCCGGGGUAGAAUGAAAGCUCAAGUGUGCCUACCAUAAAUGUGCCAACAUUUUCCAAAACUGCCAGUUUUUACAUACUCUUCAAAUGUUUUACUGUGAAAUAUAUAUGAUAUGAUUUUCCUCAUUUUCAUGUCCAUGUCUCAUGUACUGGAAUUUGACUAUUUUAUGUAAAUAAGAUCAUCUUUGGUGUCACUUUCAUUUUUAAUAUCACUAAACAUUUCAUAUGUCAGUGUUUGUUUAUUAAAAUUGCGUGUAUGCAGUUUAACAAAGCUGAGUUUUGGUUUUUUUUUUCAUCACCGGUGAUAAUAUUGAGUUUCAUGGUCUGUAGUUGUGUAUAUUUUAUGGUCACAUCAUGUCCACUUAAUAUCAAGGCUCAUAGCGCCCUCUGUUGAUCUUUUAAGAAACUACACACAGUCGUAUCCUCUGAUCUGUGAAGAGUAAAUAAACUCCCAAUUUA